rnacentral:rRNA from 1 species
UGGGGAAUAUUGGACAAUGGGCGAAAGCCUGAUCCAGCAAUGCCGCGUGAGUGAUGAAGGCCUUAGGGUUGUAAAAGCUCUUUUUACCCGGGAAUGAUAAAUGACAGUACCGGGAGAAUAAGCUCCGGCUAACUCCGUGCCAGCAGCCGCGGUAAUACGGAGGGAGCUAGCGUUGUUCGGAAUUACUGGGCGUAAAGCGCACGUAGGCGGCUUUGUAAGUCAGAGGUGAAAGCCUGGAGCUCAACUCCAGAACUGCCUUUGAGACUGCAUCGCUUGAAUCCAGGAGAGGUGAGUGGAAUUCCGAGUGUAGAGGUGAAAUUCGUAGAUAUUCGGAAGAACACCAGUGGCGAAGGCGGCUCACUGGACUGGUAUUGACGCUGAGGUGCGAAAAGCGUGGGGAGCAAAACAGGAUUAGAUACCCUGGUAGUCCACGCCGUAAAACGAUGAUAACUAGCUGUCCGGGCACUUGGUGCUUGGGUGGCGCAGCUAACGCAUUAAGUUAUCCGCCUGGGGAGUACGGUCGCAAGAUUAAAAACUU